rnacentral:rRNA from 1 species
UACGGAGGGUGCAAGCGUUAAUCGGAAUUACUGGGCGUAAAGCGCGCGUAGGCGGCUCGGUCAGUCGGGUGUGAAAGCCCCGGGCUUAACCUGGGAAUGGCAUUGGAGACUGGCGAGCUGGAGUGUGGCAGAGGGGGGUGGAAUUCCGCGUGUAGCAGUGAAAUGCGUAGAGAUGCGGAGGAACACCGAUGGCGAAGGCAGCCCCCUGGGCCAACACUGACGCUCAGGCACGAAAGCGUGGGGAGCAAACAGG